UACGUAGGGGGCAAGCGUUGUCCGGAUUUAUUGGGCGUAAAGAGCGUGUAGGCGGCCAGCUAGGUCCGACGUGAAAUCUCGAGGCUCAACCUCGAGCGGUCGUUGGAAACCGUCUGGCUAGAGUCCGGAAGAGGAGAGUGGAAUUCCUGGUGUAGCGGUGAAAUGCGCAGAUAUCAGGAAGAACACCCAUGGCGAAGGCAGCUCUCUGGGACGGUACUGACGCUGAGACGCGAAAGCGUGGGGAGCGAACAGG
rnacentral:rRNA from 1 species